GGUCGCGUAGCUCAGUUGGUUAGAGCACCGCCUUGAUAAGGCGGGGGUCGAUGGUUCAAGUCCAUCCGCGACCACCA
rnacentral:tRNA from 3 species